UACGUAGGCAGCGAGCGUUGUUCGGAGUUACUGGGCGUAAAGGGUGUGUAGGCGGUUGUUUAAGUUUGGUGUGAAAUCUCCCGGCUCAACUGGGAGGGUGCGCCGAAUACUGAAUGACUUCGAGUACGGGAGAGGUGAGUGGAAUUCCUGGUGUAGCGGUGAAAUGCGUAGAUAUCAGGAGGAACACCAGCGGUGUAGACGGCUUCUGGACCAUGCUGACGCUGAGACACGAAAGCGUGGGUAGCAAACAGG
rnacentral:rRNA from 1 species